CUGUUAUAGUUAAUGAGUCUAUGUAUUAUAAAUAAAACCCUUGUAAACAUUAAUAUCAUUCAAUUGAAUUACAUUGAAGUUAAUCCUGCUUAACUUCUAAUCAUUCCACCUAAGCAGGCAGUUGGUACUCAACAGUUAAGUUGAAAAUACCUAGCUUCUGCUUUCUUCCGCUCACGUCGACCUCCUUGACAUUCCGACGAACGAUUGAACCCAAUACGUUGCUAACGACGACGGCAUCGGAAAUAAUAACGACAGACAACAAAUAGCAUUUCAUAGCACUUAAAAAAAAAAAGAGUGGUAUGUUAAUUUUUACACAAACCAAUAAAUUAAAUUAGGUAAAAAUUAAAAUAUUUAUUAUUUUUUAAAAUACGAAAUUUAGACCAUUAACCCAGGAAAUUAGAAAAGACCUAAAAUCUGAGCAAGUUUAGAAAAGAUGACUUAUUUUUGGAUUUUUUUCAAUUUUCCCUAAAAUUCGAGUUUUCAUUCACAAUAAUUUAAUAUCCGAACUUAACUGGAAAAUGAUUUUUAUAUCGUCGAAGUCCAGACCCAACGCCCUCCAUUCUCCGUUUCCCUAAUUUGUUAAUCUUUCGGUCAUUCCUGGUUUCCUCCCUUUUUUCUGCUCAAAAUUAGCCGUCGGCGAUAUUAUUCACUCGGUUUUUGAUG
rnacentral:lncRNA from 1 species